AUGACUACUAAGUCCUAUGUCUGCUGUGGGGACCAUACAUCAACUAACUGUAUGCAAGAAAACUUGCUCUACAGGAUGUAGGCAAGUUGGGGGGUUUAUCACAGCAUCUUGGCAGUUGGAAAGGUUUCUGUGGGGGCAGGUGAGAGCCCAGGAUAAGAGAACACAGGACAGAGGAAGAGGGAGCUGGGCAGCUGAGAGGAAGAGCUGGAGAAGCCAGAGGAGCCUGGGACAAGACAACAUGUGAAGAAUGCAGCCCAGAGGGGAAGGCAGAGAUGAUGCUGAACUCAAUUCCCCUGCCUUUUUGUUUAUGCUUUGAGUGUAUCCUUUGGUGUUGCAAUGCAUGCUAUUUGGACGCAGUGAUUCGAUCGUUGUCGACGAGCCACAACAGUUACACAAAUACGGUAUGCCUCUGAUUGAUGCAAUGGGGAAAUGGUCUAAAAAGAAACCAUAUAUCUGUGUGAUACGAAGAGGCAUCAUCAAGGUAAUCCUAAAAGCUGCAGAGGUAUAUCUUUGUUACAAAAGCCAUUUCUGGGAAAAUUAUGGAAAUCUCUGAGCUUUUUGGUCCAAAACCCAGCGCAAGCACAGACACUCAUGAAGAGUUAAUGUUCCAGAGUAGUGUCUGUGUAACACAAAAUGCGUGAGGCUACCUCUUUUUGUACAUAAUUGUUCACUUCUAUUAUAAACACCUGUUUUUGAAAUGUCUUGGGUGUCUGCUCUACUUUAAUACGGUUGGAUCUGCUCCCUUAGCUGAAGGCUCAAGGCUGUGCACCUGAGCUUUUUCCAGUAUGUGCUGAGUUUUGAUUUAUUCAUGGACCUUUCCAAGUGUUAUAGGUGUAGUUAACACAUAUUACAUUUAGUGACUGUGCUAUAAGUAGAGUUAUCACCUUUUGUGAAGAGAGGCAUUCCUAUCUCUCUUGUAUUUAUAAAAGGUACAGUUUUAAACACGAGUUCAAUGAAUAAGGCUAGAACAUACCUUAUCGCUAUUGUUUUAAUCACAAAACAUCUAUGGUUCAAAUGAGGCAAACAGGGAAAUACAUUGCAUGUUAUGCACACUAUGAAAGUAAAAAUACGACAAAGGAGACUCCGAAUUGUUGAGCAGCGAAAAUCCUACAUCAGGCAAGAAUGGGACAAACCUCAGCCAUUGGUCUCCUUAGUUCCCAAAUUGUUACAGAGAGUUGUUAAAAUAAAAGGUAAUGCAAUACAGUGGGAAACAUGCCCAGCCCGAAUUUUUAUAAAUGUGUUGCUGGCAUCAAAUUCAAAAUGAGCAUAUUUUUUUCAGAAAACAAUGUCCUUUCUCAGUUUCAAAAUAUGUCUUUGUACUGUUUGCAUUAAAAUAUAAAUGAUCUCAUUUUCAAUGUACAUGUUUCACAGUGUCCUAACUUUUUUGAAAAUGGGUUGUGUAGGUGCAGAAAUAAGAAGAAUGUGUUUCCAUUUUGAGAUGAGAUGGCCUUUAGGUCAACAGGAGAAAAAGCUAGACUUGUCUGACAUUUGUCCUAUGAACACUCAGGAUAGAUGAUCUUUCUGUGCAUAGUUCUUUCUUUAUAUCCCUAGGUCUGGGCAGUAUUUUCUGGAAAUACCCCAUGGUCCUUUUGUGGAAAAAGGGUACAUUCAUGAAGUGCUUCCUAGUGGUCAUUCAAAUUAUUUGCAUUUUUCUUGUGCAGUUUCUCCUGCCUUUUAAUUACUAGGUCUUAAAGAUAUACUGACACCAGAAAUUAAACCUUUUUUACAUCUAUCAUUUUCUUUGCAUGCUAUUAAUAAUUGUGCCAUAAAAGUAUUUGUCCUAUGCUUUUACAUUACCUGUCUGAUCCCCUAUGUUCCUCUGUGAGGAAGCUGCCAUAUUGUGCAGCAGAAGAAACUUUGACAGGUCAGAAGGGACAGUCAGGUUGGCAGGUUGGAACUUUAGAUAACAAUUAUUAACAAAAUGAGCCCUAUCAGUGAAAAAUGAUCAACGUGACCUAUAGGUAGCUUUUAAUGUACAGUAAUAUUUCGAAGAGACUUUUUUUAGUGUCAGUAUCACUUUAAAUCACCCUUACAAGGUAGCCUUUGAAAAAAAACAUCACUGAAGGCCCGAAGCCUCAUGGGUGACCUGUGUUUUGUUUCUGGGGGUUUAGUUAUAGGCUGGAAAAAGGGAAAUUAUUCAAAGACCAAAAAAUAUAGCCCCACAUGUAUUAAAAGGCACUAUGGGAGUUUUGUAAUAUGCUAAUCAACUAUAGCAACCAAUCAGCAUGUAGCAUUUUCUGCUCAAGUGUUUAAAAGCAAACAUCUUAUUGGAUGAUAUGGGUAACUGCACCGUUGCAACCUAUGUGCCCUUUAUUACAUAUGGUGGGUAAGUUGUCUCUGUGCAGUUACCUUUAGCAACCAAUAAGAUUUAUGCUUUUAAACAGGUGACCAUUAAACCUUGCACCUUUUAUUACAAGGGAGCCCUCACCGAGGUGAUAUACGUGAAAUUUUACAUCUUGUCAAUCUGAGAGACGCUGGCACUUUCCAGGCAAAAGAAAUAUAUUCUAAAGAACUUUUAUGACUCUACCAAGGAGAUGUAAUGAGCUGCCUUGGAGAUUUAAACAAUAGGCCUGUUGAACGAGUACAAAAGAUAUAAAUGGUAAAAAAACAGUUAUAAUAAAUUCACACCUAAUCAUUUGAGACCAGAGGAAAGUGUUGGAAGAAAAAUCCAAUAUCCUGCUUCUUUCUUCUGUAAUCUGAAUGCUACCUGUCUAUAAAGGCACUUGAAAUAGAUUUUGGCGUAAAGUAAUCUGUUUAAUCUAAAUGUUCUCUAUUCCUGCCGUGUUUCAUUACCUCAAUAUCUGCAAGCGUAACCAAAAGCUUAUAAAGAAAGCUAUGGUUCUUAUAGAAGAUCAAAUGCUUGCUGCCCAAUAUCUGGACUUACUGUAAGCAAAAUGGUUAAUCUGUGCUUAUCUACUCAUAGCAGGACGUCGCCUGCCAUUUCUGUACAGGUACAGUAUAUACGUUUACUAGCAUUUGGGAGAUAGUUUAGGUCAGUUAAUUAAACUGUGUCAGCACACAGAAGUAUGGGAAAUAAAAUAAUAGGCUUUUGAAACGAUUUAUUGCUGGCUAUUGCAAACAUCUUCCCUGUAUGCAACUGCAAGUACAGUUGCAGUCCCAGCCUCACUGCAGUUGCAGGGGGCAAGGCUCUUGAUGCAAUAACUUCCGAUUUGGAACGCAGGCAUAAUUGUGUUCAUUUUGGUGAAUUGGACACAGCUGCAUCAAGAGCAUUGCCACUUUGAGACUGGAAAUUCUGCCAAAAACACACUGCAUUUAGGGAUUAAAACAUGGCAUUUUACUCACUGCACUUUUGAAUUUAAAUGAGCCCUUGUAAAUUUUCUGUAAAAGCGGAGGCUGGGACCUUUCCAAAGGCAUACCCAUUUAUUAUGAAUUCAUUUCACCACAUUAUGAAGUCCUGGAGCACGUCUGUUACCCACUAUAUUUAUGCUAUUGCUACAUUAUGAAAGCUUGUUGUUGCAAAUAUUAGUCAUUAAAGUGAGAGACGUGCCAUCAAAUUCAAAAAUCUGCAUACAAUACUAAUAAUUACACUUCCAUUUUUUCCAGAAGACGACUAAUACAAUACCACCAAUAAAGUGAUUCACGACUGCAACAGAAAACAGGAGGCUUCCAAAGUGGAUAUUUGUUUUCGACAAAAAAUAAUUACAAAGACCUGUAUACUUUCUUGUAUUAAAAAGUACAUUCAGUUAAUUUUUGGCACUUAUAAAGAUUAUAGCACUUUUGUUCCCUUCAUAAGUGAUGCCCUAUUACAUGUUGUUGAGCUCUUACCUGUCAAACAUCAAUAAAGAGCAGGGUUUUUCCCGAUUUGGCUGAAAUAAUGAAACCUUUUUGGAAGUUCAAUAUGUCUUGAGGGAGUUGCUUAUAAAACACAGGGUAAGGUGCAAAGUAACAAAAAAACAGGUACAAACAGAUAUGUGUUUUGUACUUUGAACCUGAAAUUUUAGACCUUUCCUUGUCUGCAUUUGUUUGUCGUACCGCAAAGCAAAACAAUUUAGAGGUCAGUUACCAUUCCCUCAAUAAAAAGCUUCUGAAUAAGGGUGAAGUUAGUGUUGGGAGAUGGAUGCCUACCUGCCUCCAUCACCCCGUUGUGUAUUGCACUUUUCCACUGCCCAGGAGGUCGAAAAUUACCUCUUAUAUGUUCCUACAAUACAUUCAGCAGCAAUGCAUACAGAAGGGGAGAAAGGGCAGCACUUGGAAUGCCCAUAGCUUGUGUUUCACAUAUAACUUGCAAGCUGGGGAGCACUGGAGUACACAAACAUCUGGGGAGCUCUGUACUUACUGUCUGCUGCUUGAGCCAGAUUCUUGCACCUGUGAGUAGUACACAGGGGUGAUCCUGGCCCCUCUGCCGCCUGAGGCAGCAGCAGUUGCUGCUGCCCCCCCCUCCCCCAGAAAUUCGCUCUUAAAGUACAAGGAGCAGCAUUUUUGCUGCCCCUGGUACCUAGUGGGGCGCUGCCGCCUGAGGCGACAGCCUCAACUCGCCUCAUUGGCGAAGCAUCCCUGGUAGUACAUGCGCCUACAAGUAACAGUUUUGCGCUCUUUAGAACUUUGGUACUUGCAUCGUUGGUAAAGUUAACACUGCUGACUGCUCAUUUUUUUGUAUAUAUAACUAAUCUAGUUUGUCUCAGUUGUAAGAAAACAUUAAGUUAGAAAACGUACACUUUCAUAGAAAUACUUUUCUCUUUCGUUAAAUUAAAUCUCCAAAGCCUGCUAGCAUUUUUGGUGCUUAUAUGUAAAUGUCAGUAGGGAUUUGAGAUUAAAAGCUGUAUUUUUCUACAAGUCAAUGAAGAUCUCUAAAGGAUAAAGAAACCUUUAAAUAGAAAUUCCUUCAGCACCACAGAAACAGUAUUCCCUGGGCUCGGUUUACCUGCCCAUUUUCUUUUAUCAUGCUACUGAUACAACCCAAAUACAGUCUUCUAUCAUGCAAAGUAAUUCUUCCCUUAAUAACUUUUAGGACUAAAACACUGCUUAGGUCAUAUAAAUUGUACAGAUAACAUUUUUUUUGUGAAUGUGAAAUUUAAUAAAAUUUGCU